CAUAAACUAAAGUGUUACUGAAUAUUGAUUCAUCAAUAACCUUUUGCCAUCUAACUAAACCAAUAUGCCAAUUUCUGUUGGAUCUGAAGAGUUGUCCAUGGUGCAACUGCAAGGAAAAAGCAUAGAAAGAACAUAUCAAACACAAAAUCAGCAAUACUUGAAUGGAGAUUUUGUUUAAUUUCUCAGUUGCUUAAGUGGUUUUGUGUUUAAAAAAUUCUGUAAUUUCUUAAAGAAUUAUGUCAAGAGGCGGAGCUUAACACAGGCCUGUCAAACACAAACUAGUUCAGCAUCACAGAUCACUGAGGGAAGCAGGAACCUGUUCAUCAUGUUCACUUGUGCACUUAUAUUGCUGACUUUAACUCAAGGUAUCAGAGCUAAAGAGGUCAUCACUCCAUACAGUGAUGCAGUAUUUGCCACUGAGACUGAGAGUGAGAAACUCUCUUGUAACUACAGCGGUUCUGUUGAAAGUCUUCUCUGGUAUCGACAAUAUGCAGGUUCACCACCACAGCUCCUCAUACUGGAAACCUAUGGAACAGUUAUUCCCGCUGAUCCUCCAGUUCCUGGAAUAUCCAUCAGUCACAGAAAAGAAGACAAACAUGUGGAUCUGAUCAUCUCCUCUGCUGCAGUAUCAGACUCUGCUCUGUAUUACUGUGCUCUGAGGCCCACAGUCACAGGAAACACAAGAACACUGUACAAAAACAUCAUACAGUACAUGUGAAAGCAUGUAUUAAGAAUAUAUAGUUGUGCUAUUGAAUUAUUAUUUGAUUAUUAAUUUACUCUGAACUUUGUAUUCAACAAAUACAGAUGUACACUGUUGAUUAAAAUGCAUUGGUAAUGUUCAUGAAUUUUAAGAUGAAAUGAUUAAACAGGAUUACUUUAAAAUUGCUAGUGAUGGAAAAAUCACACUUUAUUCUGUAACAAACUGUCAUGCUUUUCUUUCACAGUCUUCUUAAAAUAAAUAUUUUGCUAUUAAAGGCAACAUA